CUACGGGGGGCUGCAGUGGGGAAUAUUGGACAAUGGGCGAAAGCCUGAUCCAGCCAUGCCGCGUGUGUGAAGAAGGCCUUCGGGUUGUAAAGCACUUUCAGUGGGGAAGAAAGCCUUGGGGCUAAUACCCUCGAGGAAGGACAUCACCCACAGAAGAAGCACCGGCUAACUCCGUGCCAGCAGCCGCGGUAAUACGGAGGGUGCGAGCGUUAAUCGGAAUUACUGGGCGUAAAGCGCGCGUAGGCGGUCUGAUAAGCCGGUUGUGAAAGCCCCGGGCUCAACCUGGGAACGGCAUCCGGAACUGUCAGGCUAGAGUGCAGGAGAGGAAGGUAGAAUUCCCGGUGUAGCGGUGAAAUGCGUAGAGAUCGGGAGGAAUACCAGUGGCGAAGGCGGCCUUCUGGACUGACACUGACGCUGAGGUGCGAAAGCGUGGGUAGCAGACAGGAUUAGAUACCCGGGUAGUC
rnacentral:rRNA from 1 species